ACAUGCAAGUCGAGCGGACAGAAGGGAGCUUGCUCCCGGAUGUUAGCGGCGGACGGGUGAGUAACACGUGGGUAACCUGCCUGUAAGACUGGGAUAACUCCGGGAAACCGGAGCUAAUACCGGAUAGUUCCUUGAACCGCAUGGUUCAAGGAUGAAAGACGGUUUCGGCUGUCACUUACAGAUGGACCCGCGGCGCAUUAGCUAGUUGGUGAGGUAACGGCUCACCAAGGCGACGAUGCGUAGCCGACCUGAGAGGGUGAUCGGCCACACUGGGACUGAGACACGGCCCAGACUCCUACGGGAGGCAGCAGUAGGGAAUCUUCCGCAAUGGACGAAAGUCUGACGGAGCAACGCCGCGUGAGUGAUGAAGGUUUUCGGAUCGUAAAGCUCUGUUGUUAGGGAAGAACAAGUGCAAGAGUAACUGCUUGCACCUUGACGGUACCUAACCAGAAAGCCACGGCUAACUACGUGCCAGCAGCCGCGGUAAUACGUAGGUGGCAAGCGUUGUCCGGAAUUAUUGGGCGUAAAGGGCUCGCAGGCGGUUUCUUAAGUCUGAUGUGAAAGCCCCCGGCUCAACCGGGGAGGGUCAUUGGAAACUGGGAAACUUGAGUGCAGAAGAGGAGAGUGGAAUUCCACGUGUAGCGGUGAAAUGCGUAGAGAUGUGGAGGAACACCAGUGGCGAA
rnacentral:rRNA from 1 species